GGUUAAGCGACUAAGCGUACACGGUGGAUGCCCUGGCAGUCAGAGGCGAUGAAGGACGUGCUAAUCUGCGAUAAGCGUCGGUAAGGUGAUAUGAACCGUUAUAACCGGCGAUUUCCGAAUGGGGAAACCCAGUGUGUUUCGACACACUAUCAUUAACUGAAUCCAUAGGUUAAUGAGGCGAACCGGGGGAACUGAAACAUCUAAGUACCCCGAGGAAAAGAAAUCAACCGAGAUUCCCCCAGUAGCGGCGAGCGAACGGGGAGCAGCCCAGAGCCUGAAUCAGUGUGUGUGUUAGUGGAAGCGUCUGGAAAGGCGCGCGAUACAGGGUGACAGCCCCGUACACAAAAAUGCACAUACUGUGAGCUCGAUGAGUAGGGCGGGACACGUGGUAUCCUGUCUGAAUAUGGGGGGACCAUCCUCCAAGGCUAAAUACUCCUGACUGACCGAUAGUGAACCAGUACCGUGAGGGAAAGGCGAAAAGAACCCCGGCGAGGGGAGUGAAAAAGAACCUGAAACCGUGUACGUACAAGCAGUGGGAGCACGCUUCGGCGUGUGACUGCGUACCUUUUGUAUAAUGGGUCAGCGACUUAUAUUCUGUAGCAAGGUUAACCGAAUAGGGGAGCCGAAGGGAAACCGAGUCUUAACUGGGCGUUAAGUUGCAGGGUAUAGACCCGAAACCCGGUGAUCUAGCCAUGGGCAGGUUGAAGGUUGGGUAACACUAACUGGAGGACCGAACCGACUAAUGUUGAAAAAUUAGCGGAUGACUUGUGGCUGGGGGUGAAAGGCCAAUCAAACCGGGAGAUAGCUGGUUCUCCCCGAAAGCUAUUUAGGUAGCGCCUCGUGAAUUCAUCUCCGGGGUAGAGCACUGUUUCGGCAAGGGGGUCAUCCCGACUUACCAACCCGAUGCAAACUGCGAAUACCGGAGAAUGUUAUCACGGGAGACACACGGCGGGUGCUAACGUCCGUCGUGAAGAGGGAAACAACCCAGACCGCCAGCUAAGGUCCCAAAGUCAUGGUUAAGUGGGAAACGAUGUGGGAAGGCCCAGACAGCCAGGAUGUUGGCUUAGAAGCAGCCAUCAUUUAAAGAAAGCGUAAUAGCUCACUGGUCGAGUCGGCCUGCGCGGAAGAUGUAACGGGGCUAAACCAUGCACCGAAGCUGCGGCAGCGACACUAUGUGUUGUUGGGUAGGGGAGCGUUCUGUAAGCCUGUGAAGGUGUGCUGUGAGGCAUGCUGGAGGUAUCAGAAGUGCGAAUGCUGACAUAAGUAACGAUAAAGCGGGUGAAAAGCCCGCUCGCCGGAAGACCAAGGGUUCCUGUCCAACGUUAAUCGGGGCAGGGUGAGUCGACCCCUAAGGCGAGGCCGAAAGGCGUAGUCGAUGGGAAACAGGUUAAUAUUCCUGUACUUGGUGUUACUGCGAAGGGGGGACGGAGAAGGCUAUGUUGGCCGGGCGACGGUUGUCCCGGUUUAAGCGUGUAGGCUGGUUUUCCAGGCAAAUCCGGAAAAUCAAGGCUGAGGCGUGAUGACGAGGCACUACGGUGCUGAAGCAACAAAUGCCCUGCUUCCAGGAAAAGCCUCUAAGCAUCAGGUAACAUUAAAUCGUACCCCAAACCGACACAGGUGGUCAGGUAGAGAAUACCAAGGCGCUUGAGAGAACUCGGGUGAAGGAACUAGGCAAAAUGGUGCCGUAACUUCGGGAGAAGGCACGCUGAUAUGUAGGUGAAGUCCCUCGCGGAUGGAGCUGAAAUCAGUCGAAGAUACCAGCUGGCUGCAACUGUUUAUUAAAAACACAGCACUGUGCAAACACGAAAGUGGACGUAUACGGUGUGACGCCUGCCCGGUGCCGGAAGGUUAAUUGAUGGGGUUAGCGGUAACGCGAAGCUCUUGAUCGAAGCCCCGGUAAACGGCGGCCGUAACUAUAACGGUCCUAAGGUAGCGAAAUUCCUUGUCGGGUAAGUUCCGACCUGCACGAAUGGCGUAAUGAUGGCCAGGCUGUCUCCACCCGAGACUCAGUGAAAUUGAACUCGCUGUGAAGAUGCAGUGUACCCGCGGCAAGACGGAAAGACCCCGUGAACCUUUACUAUAGCUUGACACUGAACAUUGAGCCUUGAUGUGUAGGAUAGGUGGGAGGCUUUGAAGUGUGGACGCCAGUCUGCAUGGAGCCGACCUUGAAAUACCACCCUUUAAUGUUUGAUGUUCUAACGUUGACCCGUAAUCCGGGUUGCGGACAGUGUCUGGUGGGUAGUUUGACUGGGGCGGUCUCCUCCUAAAGAGUAACGGAGGAGCACGAAGGUUGGCUAAUCCUGGUCGGACAUCAGGAGGUUAGUGCAAUGGCAUAAGCCAGCUUGACUGCGAGCGUGACGGCGCGAGCAGGUGCGAAAGCAGGUCAUAGUGAUCCGGUGGUUCUGAAUGGAAGGGCCAUCGCUCAACGGAUAAAAGGUACUCCGGGGAUAACAGGCUGAUACCGCCCAAGAGUUCAUAUCGACGGCGGUGUUUGGCACCUCGAUGUCGGCUCAUCACAUCCUGGGGCUGAAGUAGGUCCCAAGGGUAUGGCUGUUCGCCAUUUAAAGUGGUACGCGAGCUGGGUUUAGAACGUCGUGAGACAGUUCGGUCCCUAUCUGCCGUGGGCGCUGGAGAACUGAGGGGGCUGCUCCUAGUACGAGAGGACCGGAGUGGACGCAUCACUGGUGUUCGGGUUGUCAUGCCAAUGGCACUGCCCGGUAGCUAAAUGCGGAAGAGAUAAGUGCUGAAAGCAUCUAAGCACGAAACUUGCCCCGAGAUGAGUUCUCCCUGACUCCUUGAGAGUCCUGAAGGAACGUUGAAGACGACGACGUUGAUAGGCCGGGUGUGUAAGCGCAGCGAUGCGUUGAGCUAACCGGUACUAAUGAACCGUGAGGCUUAACCUU
rnacentral:rRNA from 1 species